rnacentral:rRNA from 1 species
AUUGAACGCUGGCGGCAGGCUUAACACAUGCAAGUCGAGCGGGGUGAUGGUGCUUGCACUAUCACUUAGCGGCGGACGGGUGAGUAAUGCUUAGGAAUCUGCCUAUGAGUGGGGGACAACAUCUCGAAAGGGAUGCUAAUACCGCAUACGUCCUACGGGAGAAAGCAGGGGAUCACUUGUGACCUUGCGCUAAUAGAUGAGCCUAAGUCGGAUUAGCUAGUUGGUGGGGUAAAGGCCUACCAAGGCGACGAUCUGUAGCGGGUCUGAGAGGAGGAUCCGCCAAACUGGGACUGAGACACGGCCCAGACUCCUACGGGAGGCAGCAGUGGGGAAUAUUGGGCAAUGGGGGGAACCCUGAUCCAGCCAUGCCGCGUGUGUGAAGAAGGCCUUAUGGUUGUAAGGCACUUUAAGCGAGGAGGAGGCUCUUUUGGUUAAUACCCAAGAUGAGUGGACGUUACUCGCAGAAUAAGCACCGGCUAACUCUGUGUCAGCCGCCGCAGUAA